rfam:Ixodes scapularis strain Wikel colony gcontig_1108379769430, whole genome shotgun sequence.
UCCUGGUUAGCUGAGUUGGUACAGCGCCCGACUGGAAAUGGAGGGGUCCCUGGUUUAAUACCAGGACAAGGCG